UACGUAGGUGGCGAGCGUUGUCCGGAAUUACUGGGUGUAAAGCGCGUGUAGGCGGCAGGCCAAGUCGGUGGUGAAAGCGCCCGGCUCAACUGGGCGAGGUCCAUGGAAACUGGUCAGCUGGAGGACGGUAGAGGCGAGUGGAAUUCCCGGUGUAGUGGUGAAAUUCGUAGAUAUUCGGAAGAACACCAGUGGCGAAGGCGGCUCACUGGCCCGGUUCUGACGCUGAGGUGCGAAAGCGUGGGGAGCAAACAGG
rnacentral:rRNA from 1 species